rnacentral:tRNA from 1 species
AGGAGAAUAGUUAAAUAAAUAACACUUUUUUUGCAAAAAAAAAUUAUUGAAACUUUUCAAUUUCUCUUA